UCCGGUUUGUCACCGGCAGUCUCGCAUGAGUCCCCAACUUAAUGCUGGCAACAUGCGACGGGGGUUGCGCUCGUUGCGGGACUUAACCCAACAUCUCACGACACGAGCUGACGACAGCCAUGCACCACCUGUGAUCCUGCCCCGAAGGGAAGGUGUGUUUCCACACCGGUCAGGAACAUGUCAAGCCCAGGUAAGGUGGGGAUGACGUUAUCGGAUUCUAAG
rnacentral:misc_RNA from 1 species